rnacentral:rRNA from 1 species
AUCUACAGCCAUGCUACCCUGAAUGUGCCCGAUCUCAUCUGAUCCCAGAAGCUAAACAGGGUCGGGCCUGGUUGGUACUUGGGUGGGAGACCACCUAGGAAUAUCAGGUGCUGUAGGCA